UUGAACCUUAUCACUUAGAGGAAGGAGAAGUCGUAACAAGGUUUCYGUUGGUGAACCUGCGGAAGGUUCAUUGUCGAAUCCUGCAAAAAGGACAACUGUGAACUUGUUUAAACCCUAGGGAACCGGGCUUGGGGUCCCCCCACUCCCGCAGACCCUAGCCGGCCGGUGCCUUCAGCGCUCGGUCGUGCAAAUCAACAAAUCCYAGCGCAAAAAGUGCCAAGGACCACCUAAAUGGAUUGCCUUCCCUCAGCUCGCCCGUUUGCGGUGCGAUACUUGGUGUGAAUUGCAGAAUCCCGUGAACCAUCGAGUUUUUGAACUCAAGUUGYGCCCGAAGCCGUUAGGCUGAGGGCACGUCUACCUGGGCAUCACGCAUCAMGUCACCCUCCCCACCCAUACCCCGACGGGAUGAGGGUCAUGCAGGAGGGCAGAAAAUGGCCUCCCGUGCUUGCGUGCGGUUGUCCCAAACCCAAGUCCCUCGCUACAGACGUCACGACAAGUGGUGGUUGGAAAUCUCAACUCGAUUUUUGUCGUGCGGUGUUCCAUGGCUAGGGAGACUGAUCGACCCUCUAGCGAGCCCCUCUCGAGGAGCGCUUGCCACGACCGUGACCCCAAGUCAGGCGGGACUACCCGCU
rnacentral:rRNA from 1 species